rnacentral:tRNA from 1 species
GGAGAGGUGGCUGAGCUGGUUGAAGGCGCAGCAUUGGAAAUGCUGUAAACGGCUAUCCCGUUUCGAGGGUUCGAAUCCCUUCCUCUCCU